GCUUAACACAUGCAAGUCGAACGAAGCACUCUAUUUGAUUUUCUUCGGAAAUGAAGAUUUUGUGACUGAGUGGCGGACGGGUGAGUAACGCGUGGGUAACCUGCCUCAUACAGGGGGAUAACAGUUGGAAACGACUGCUAAUACCGCAUAAGCGCACAGGAUCGCAUGAUCCGGUGUGAAAAACUCCGGUGGUAUGAGAUGGACCCGCGUCUGAUUAGCCAGUUGGCAGGGUAACGGCCUACCAAAGCGACGAUCAGUAGCCGACCUGAGAGGGUGACCGGCCACAUUGGGACUGAGACACGGCCCAAACUCCUACGGGAGGCAGCAGUGGGGAAUAUUGCACAAUGGGGGAAACCCUGAUGCAGCGACGCCGCGUGAGCGAAGAAGUAUUUCGGUAUGUAAAGCUCUAUCAGCAGGGAAGAAGAAUGACGGUACCUGACUAAGAAGCACCGGCUAAAUACGUGCCAGCAGCCGCGGUAAUACGUAUGGUGCAAGCGUUAUCCGGAUUUACUGGGUGUAAAGGGAGCGCAGGCGGUGCGGCAAGUCUGAUGUGAAAGCCCGGGGCUCAACCCCGGUACUGCAUUGGAAACUGUCGUACUAGAGUGUCGGAGGGGUAAGUGGAAUUCCUAGUGUAGCGGUGA
rnacentral:rRNA from 1 species